AGAGUUUUUUCCUGGCUCAGGAUGAACGCUGGCGGCGUGCUUAACACAUGCAAGUCGAACGGGAAAUAUUUCAUUGAGACUUCGGUGGAUUUGAACUAUUUCUAGUGGCGGACGGGUGAGUAACGCGUGGGUAACCUGCCUUAUACAGGGGGAUAACAGUCAGAAAUGGCUGCUAAUACCGCAUAAGCGCACAGAGCUGCAUGGCUCAGUGUGAAAAACUCCGGUGGUAUAAGAUGGACCCGCGUUGGAUUAGCUGGUUGGUGGGGUAACGGCCCACCAAGGCGACGAUCCAUAGCCGGCCUGAGAGGGUGAACGGCCACAUUGGGACUGAGACACGGCCCAGACUCCUACGGGAGGCAGCAGUGGGGAAUAUUGCACAAUGGGGGAAACCCUGAUGCAGCGACGCCGCGUGAAGGAAGAAGUAUCUCGGUAUGUAAACUUCUAUCAGCAGGGAAGAUAGUGACGGUACCUGACUAAGAAGCCCCGGCUAACUACGUGCCAGCAGCCGCGGUAAUACGUAGGGGGCAAGCGUUAUCCGGAUUUACUGGGUGUAAAGGGAGCGUAGACGGUGUGGCAAGUCUGAUGUGAAAGGCAUGGGCUCAAUCUGUGGACUGAAUUGGAAACUGUCAUACUUGAGUGCCGGAGGGGUAAGCGGAAUUCCUAGUGUAGCGGUGAAAUGCGUAGAUAUUAGGAGGAACACCAGUGGCGAAGGCGGCUUACUGGACGGUAACUGACGUUGAGGCUCGAAAGCGUGGGGAGCAAACAGGAGUAGAUACCCUGGUAGUCCACGCCGUAAACGAU
rnacentral:rRNA from 1 species